rnacentral:lncRNA from 1 species
GGAGUUGCUGGAAGUAAGACUCAGAAGCACAUCAGGACCCCUAAGACUGUGACCCCCAGGAGUUUCUCACUCUCUAAUUAGUUCACAUUCACCUCCAGAAAUUCAUCAAAAUUAUCAUUUUACUGUUUUUACCAGUUGUUGACUCCAGCAGCUUCUGCUUCAGGUAUUUUUUUAAACCAGCGUGAAUAGACUAUGACCACAACUCAAGUAAAUCUUACUGCUGCUCACUUUUUGGGUCCACACUGCGUUUAUUAGCUGCAACGCUCACCGCUAUGGUCUGCAGCUUCACUCCUGAAGCCAGCGAGACCACGAACCCACCAGAAUGAAGAAACUCCGAACACAUCCAAACAUCAGAAGGAACAAACUCCGGACAGGCGGCCUUUAAGAACUGUAACACUCACCUCGAGGGUCUGCGGCUUCAUUCUUGAAGUCAGUGAGACCAAGAACCCACCAAUUCCGGACACAAUGUUACUCCAGAUAAUCAGCGCCAUUUUCUGAAGCUUGAGAUGCAGGAAAAGAGGAGUGCUAUCCAUUAGAUGGAGACAGGAAGUAGAAAAAGAGCUUAAAGUUUUGGCUUGUGUUACUUCCUUGGGGAGAUCUUGCUGGACCACAUCAGGAAUAGGAGGGGUGUGUCCCCACAGCACUGUGUACACGAUUGUCCUGGAAUGCCCCACC